ensembl:snRNA U6 U6 spliceosomal RNA
GUACCUAUUUCAGCGGCACAUGUUCCAAAACUGGAACUAUCGAGAUAGUCAUGGCCCCUGUGCAGAGAUGACACACAAACUCAUUAAUCAUUCCAUAUUUUU